AGAAAUUCCAGCGUUUUGUAUGCCGAAAAACCAAUUGACAGGAAGUUUCACGUCUCUGGCUUCCUAGCUAAGUAUCCUCUGAGACUUGAAAUACCUUUCAAAAUGUGCUGUCAAUCCUAUCAGCAUCAGAAAAACUCUGGUGGUUAACAGAUUUUUAAAUGGAUACAAUAAAUCAAUAGGAGGAUGUGUCACACAUUGGGAAGAAAUCAGGAAGUAAGGAAAACCAACACUGUGCAGUGAUAAAGCCAUAUAUGGGCAUCAAGAAGGAAACAGGAAGAGAAAAUCCAAAGCCUGAAACUAGAUCUAUCCCCAAACCUUUCCUUACUAUCUGGAGAGCAUUUACCAAGCAAAUAGUCCUACAACUUAAGUCAAAACAAAAUCUAUGCAGAGACUACUGAGGUUGCUGAGUGUGCUCUAGGAGAAUAUACUUUAAAUUAUGCAACUAAAUAUGGAUCAUGUUUCAAAAUCCUGAUUCAUUAACUCAAAUAUUUAUUCACUGCCUGCUAUGUGUAAAGAACUAAAGUGGAGUUACAGGAAGAGAAACUAAAAUUAAUACAAUAUGAUCCUUGCCUUCAGUGGACUUAUAGUCUUAAGGCAAAAUGAGAGUGUGGUGGUGGUGCAUGCCUGUAAUCCCAGCAGCUUGGGAGACUGAGGCAGGAGGAUCAUGAGUUCAAAGCCAGCUUCAGCAAUUUAGUGAGGCCCUAAGCAACUCAGCAAGACCUUGUCUCUAAAUAAAAUAUAAAAAAGAGAUAGGGAUGUGGCUCAGUGGUUAAACACCCCUUGGGGGUUCAACUCCUGGUACCAAAAAAAGGCUUUGAACAGAUAAUAAUAAGAGACAAGAUGAAAUCAAUUUCUUUUAAUGGGAGUUGAAGUAACAAUAUAAUGGGAUAAAGGAAGGAAUAAUUUAUUCCAGAAGACUUGAAAAAGACUUCACAGAAGAGGGGACAUUUGGAUGCACCUUAAAAAUGAAUAGGUUUUCAAUAAAUAUAUAUCUACACCACUUUAAAGUAGCCAUUGUAUAUUACCCCAGACAAACAAUGAGAUGAUAAAUCAUUUUGAGAAUUCAAGGGCAAUUACCAAAUGAAAAGCAUACCACAAAACCCACAAAAAAAAAAAAGGAAAAUGAAAAAACAAAAGAUUGUUCUUAUUUCCUAUGGAUACCUGCCCCAACAAUCCUAUCACCCUGGUUUGGGGGUAUCAGGUAUAAGGGGGAGACAGUAAAAGGGAUAUUUCAGCCUCAAGGAGUGAUUCUGCAAAGAGUAAAAAGGCCAAGAACUUCUAAAAGAACCUUCUGGAGAAGGAAAGAGCUGUAUUGGUAAAUCCAACAUACAGGCCUUAUAGGGAGCCUCUCUUGUUUCCAGAGUAAUUUAAUAUGGCUGCCUCAUUGCUUAUACCUUCCAUUGUAAUUAUCUGUCCCCCACACACCUUGGAUUAGGAACUGCUCAAGAGCAGAGAUCUUGUUUUUCCUGCUUUCGGUGCAUACCAAAGAGUACCUAGUUUAAAGCAGAUAUUCAGUAAGUGAUGAAUAAAAGAAUGCCUUCACCUACAUCACUGACAAACAUACUCACAGACUGCCUAUCCCAGGCAGUGUAUUAUGCCAGGUGCCUGAGGCAUACAAAGCCCUUAAAGACUUUAUAAUCUAUUUGGGAAGACACUUCAUAUGCAUAAAAGAAUAACCAAUACAAAAUGAGAAGCACUUGCUGCUAAUCUAAUGUAUAAAAGAAUGGAUUGCCAGUGGAGUUCAAGAGGAGCAGUUAUCCAAGGUACCAUUCAAAGUAAACCAGAAGAGAGUGGGUAUGCACAGAAUGGGCACCCAAAAGACAAGCUGGAAAUCAUCCUGAAGCAUCGUAGAUCCUACAAGAACUGGGAAAUAGGUUUUCUGUACAGAGAUGACAGCAGAGCCAACAAAUAAAAUGGACCUGCUCCUUAGGAAGGAAGAGAAGUAGGCCCAGAAAGACCCAGAGAGCUGUAAAUGGCACCACCUAGAGGACAGUUUUCAUAACAGCAGAAAGAUUUUGUUAAACUGAGCUUUUGAGUAAAAGGAAGGUUUCAGGACCAACAUGUUGAAGAUGAAAAACCUGUGCGAGACACAAUAAUUUCUUCUGACAGAGAAAACACCCUCUGUUGAAAAAAAUCCACCUUAAAGCUAUUCUAUAUUAAGCAGAGUACCUCACUGACAUCUUUCCUUUAUCAAGCUCAGAAAAUGCAGCUAGGUGAUUGUCUGGCUCUAUUUACAUCCAUCUAUUUUGUAUCUAUCCAAAUCAGCAUUAUCAUGGGAAGUAUAGCAUUUCACAGUUUGAAGGACAUUCAGAUCACACUAGACUUGCACCUCCUAAAAGCCUGGCCAGAUGGGAACUACAAAUUAUUUUUUAGUUGUUAUCCAUAGCUAUGAUUUUUGAACAUUUUUAUUAAUGUGUAUUGUUCAUAUUAAUAGGAUUCAUUGUGAUGUUUUCAUGUAUGUACAUAGCAUGCACUCACCAACCUCCUUUGUUCACCCUCCUCCUCCACAUACACAUACCCUUCCCAGACUUUAGUAGUCACUAUUUGACUUUUUUUAGUUUUUGCAUAUGAGAGGGUACAUGCAGUACUUGUCUUUCUCUGUCUGCCUACUUCAUUUAAUAUUCUUCAUUUUCAUCCAUUUUGCUGCAAAUGACAGGUUUUCAUUCUUCUUUACAGCUGAGUACUACUUCAUUGUGUAUAUAUACCACAUUGUCUUUAUCCAUUCAUCUGUUUGGAGCUAUUUUUAAGCUGGAUAUAUUGGUGUUUCCUACAGAGAAACUCAUGUGUUUGAUAAACAAAUGAGCUAAUGGAUGAAAAAGUACUAAACUCACAACUGUGAUCCUUUUAUCAAGGAUAACUUAGUAUAGGAAUUUCCCUCCUGUCCUUAAGUUAUUACAAACAGAAGUUACCGUAUGCCUCAAGACUCACUGGCUUUGCUGAACUCAAAUCAAGACCAAGGGUCUUUGGCCUGCAGAAGUAGUGUACUUUUGUUGUUGUUGUUUUUGUGUUUGUUUGAGAAAGGGUCUCACUUUUGCCAGGGCUGGCCCCAAUCUUCUGGACUCAAGCCAUCCUCUUGCCUCAGCUUCCUGAGUAGCUGAGACUAGAGGUAAACAACACUGAAUCUGGCAAAGUGUUACUUUUGACUCUUGAAAUCAGGCUUAUUAUCUCAGAUAACAACACUUCCAACCAAGUGUUUACUCCCCAUUUCUGCAUCAUUUGGAUCAAUUUAUACACCCCAUUUAGUAACAUGUCAUACCUAUGGACACUGGAAAUGGGCCUUUUACCUAAUACAACAAGAAGAGGACUGGAUUUUAGAAUUAAAUAUAUUGGGGUGAUCAAGGCAAUUAUUUGUCUCUUAUUCUUUACUUCCAUAAUUCUAAAUCAAAUAAUCACUUAUACCUUUUACGAUUUUCAUGUAAAGCUCAAAAGGUCAAGAUUUUUAUGUUUUCUUCACUAGGGAAUGUAGCACUUAGAAAAGUGCCAGGAUACAAGAAAGGCUCAAUAAACAUAUGCUGAAUGAAUGAAAAUUAGGUUUUCUAAUAAAAGAAAUCACAUAUUGGC